UCCUUGUCUCAUAUCCCAGAGAUGUCCAGCUCACUCAGAGCUCUGGGAUCUGAGGGCAAAAAGACACUUGGAGGCUGACAGACAGCAACUCAACAAUACCUACAGCAACUACAAUUCUGUGACAGUACCUCAAGGGAAAGCCCAGCACCAGCUGCCCACCACGAAGCCUUAUGACCUACUGAAGCUGCCAUCAGCUCUGAUUCCCACAGACCAUAUCUAGCACUGCUCUACUUCUCAGGCCACAAAAAGAGCAAGAAAGACAAUUAUGUCAAGAAUUUGCUAAUCAUAGAAAAUUAAGACUUUACAAUAGGACAGGCACCAUGCCACUGAGACAAGUGUGCACAGCUCCUCAUGCUUUCCCAGUGCUACAGCCUCUCACACCAGCAGUAGCCAGGCUCCUCCACUCUGCCACAGCUUUCAGGUACUAAUCUGCAGGAUCCAGCUGAUGAAACCCUGGGAACGCAGCUACUAGGCAAGCACCUAUUGCUCAUACAUAGUCUGCUCACUGUGCUUCUGCAUUAUUCAGAGUUCUGCCCACCUCUGGUGGUGUCAGCUAACAGGACACAUCUGGGAAAAACUGCCAUCUCACAUGUUCCCUCCUCCCAGUUACACCAAAGAAUGAGAAAACUACUGUGAGCUACCAAAGCCCACAACAACCCACCCCAAAAGUAACCAUUUUCGAUGUCUUAGAAAACAUAGCAUUUGAUAUCUUGCAAAGCCAAUACACUGGUCCUGGCACAUCCUUCCUAAAUAGCAUUGUGAUCUACUUGUCUUUACUGAGGGAAACAGAGAUAGCAGUAUUAAACCAAAACUCUCAAGCAGGUGAGGUAAAGGACAGACCAACCCAAGAGGGAGGACAGGUAAAGCACAGAUAAGUGGAGCAAAAUUUUUACAUUAAAUAUUGAUUGUUUUAUCACCCUUUUUUCUCUAAAGGAUAAAAGUGAAGUAGCACAGUGCUCAGAGCACUAAAGAGGUGCAGCAGGAGAUAAACCAUUAACAACACACUCAGCCAAACAGCCACAGCACAGUCAGGAGCAAUCACACCUGGAAACUCUUUGGAGAAGUGAAUGAGGAAGAGAGAAGAAGUCUCUUUCUUCCCCAGCACCUGGAAACACCAAAGGAGAUUUUCCACCAUCUAACGGAGCAGGAGAACAGAGCCAUGGCUUUUGCUCACAUGGAGUAGAGCAUCAAGUCCUGGUCUGCUUUUAAUACCUGGAAGGUCUCCACAAGACAAUGUAGAAGGAGAGAGGCAGGAGAAGCAGAGGCUGUCAGGAAUGUGCUGUUCAGACGAGGGUUUCCAGCUACUGCAAUCCUGACCUGAGGUUGCACCAUGCUCCAUAUGAAGCUGCUCAGGCUUUGUGGCACCUCAGCAGAUGUCUCCUAAGGACAGUUUCUGCAAAGCCUGGCAGGAAGAACUGGUCCUAUCUGAUAUUGAGACUUCCAUCUCACUGCCCUUCCAGCACAAUCCACCUAAAGGGUCCAACCCAGGAAGCAGCCAGUGCCUGCUCAACACCAGGACUGACUUCAGCUGAAAUGCUCUUAGCAAUAUGCUGGCACCCAGCACCCAGGCAGAGACUUGAGGGUCCUCAUCUGUCAACAGCCCAUCUGCUCAGACAACUGUAAAUAUGUAUGAGUCCACAUUCUUCCUCCCAGCUUUAAUCUGCUGUUUUCACUGAAGCUAAAUGGAGGAUGAACUUGGUCCCCGGUGCUUCAAUCAGCUAGCACAGCAAAUUCUUUUAUCACCUUUUUUCCUGAC